CUUUAUUCUCUCUCUUUCACUCAUUUGCUCUUUCCUUCUCUCUCUAAAAAUCUCUAGUGAGAGAAAUUUCAAUUCGCUUACAGUAGUAAUACUUCACAUUUUCUCUGAAACUUUCCCUUUCAUUUUCUCGAGAAAAAACAAAAGAAAAGAAAAUCUCGAGCUUUGUAGAGGAAUGUGUCAGCCUUAUUUACCAUGUGGUGGGGGGGUGACUGAAACGACACAGUUUAAAAACCCACCUUUUCUUAGGAGGUAACAGUAUAUUUCUCUCUCUCUCUCUCUCUCUCUCCAUCUCGUUUUUAACAAUGCAGAAUGGAAUCUUUAUGCUUCGAGGCUCGUUUUGAAUAUACAAUGGAGGGCUUUUUGUAGUUUUUUGGGUUUUUUUAUGUAGUGUAUAAAAAUCCUGUCUUUGGUGAAUAGUUGAAGCUAUUUUUGUGUGUUUUGAAGGUGGUUGUUUUUAAAAGGAAGUUUUUUGGGUUGAUUUGAGGGAAAAAAGUUAAAAGGGUUUUUUUGUGUUUUUAUGUGAGGUUCAGUUGAGUGAACCCUAGUGGUGGUUGAAGUAUAAAUUUGCUAAAAAAAAGUAUGAUCUUUUUGGAAGCUUCAAGUUUUGGUUGGUGAAUGUGGGUACUGGAAGUGGAGAACUGAAGUGGGUUGUGAUAUUUAAGCGUUUUGUGCUGGUUUGAGCUUCAGUUGUUUGGCUGAAUGGGGGACUCGGUCAAUUUUCUUGGUGGGUUCCGGGUGAUUUUGUUUAAUUUAAGGAGGAUUUGAGGGGAGCUUGGUAAAUUUGGAAAUUUGGGUGGCUUUGAGGGAACAAGGUGAAGAUCUCUUGAAAAACUGUGUUAAAUUAAAGGUGUUUGGAACAAUGUCUGGAGCUCCAAGAGUGAGGUCAAUGAACGUGGCUGACUCUGAGGCCAGGUCUGUGUUAGGACCUACUGGAAAUAAUAAGGCAGGACCAUUGAGUGCGCGGAAACCUGUUUCAAAACAAUCGAGGAAGGUUGAGAAAUCACCGGAGGAGGUUAAAUUAGGAGAAGAGAAGAAAACCCUUACAGUGCCCGCUGUCGGUACUUUAUCCCCUAAAUCACAUUCUCUCAAUAUUUCUUCAGUGCUUCGCCGCCAUGAGCUGUUAUUGCAUUCCAAUUUGUCACUAAAUGCUUCUUGUUCAUCUGAUGCCUCCACUGAUUCAUUUCAUAGCCGAGCAUCUACUGGGAGGUUGACUCGGUCAAAUAGUGCAGGGACUAGAAGGAAGCAGUACGUUUUAAGGCCAAGAAGUUUUGUUUCUGAAGGGGGUUUAGAAUCUCCACCAUCUCCUGAUGAUUCACAGUCCAAGAAAAGCUGUGCCUGGGUGACACCAAAUACGGAUCCAUGUUACGCCACUUUCCAUGAUGAAGAAUGGGGAGUCCCAAUACAUGAUGACAGGAAGUUGUUUGAGCUUCUUGUCCUUUCAGGUGCUUUGGCUGAACUUACUUGGCCUGCUAUUCUAAGCAAAAGGCACAUUUUUAGGGAAGUUUUUGCAGAUUUUGAUCCAAUUGCUGUCUCAAAAUUUAAUGAGAAGAAGAUUCUUGCACCUGGAAGCACUGCAACCUCCCUAUUAUCAGAACUUAAGCUCCGUGCUAUUGUUGAGAAUGCACGCCAAAUAUCUAAGGUCAUUGAUGAGUUUGGGUCAUUUGACAAGUAUAUUUGGAGCUUUGUGAACUACAAGCCUAUAGUUAGCAGAUUCCGGUAUCCUCGACAGGUUCCCGUGAAAACUCCCAAAGCAGAUGCAAUAAGCAAGGACCUUGUAAGAAGAGGAUUCCGCAGUGUGGGGCCCACAGUCAUCUACUCAUUCAUGCAGGUGGCAGGGAUAACAAAUGAUCAUCUCAUUAGUUGCUUCAGAUUCCAGGAGUGUUUAGACGCUGCAGAAGGGAAGGUAGAAAAUGGCAUCAAGUCUGAAGAUAUAAAAACCAACGACGUCAUGGAAUCGAAAAUAUCCAUAGCUAUUGAUGAAUUGAGUUUCUCCUCAGAAUGACACCGCCGGCACAUGGAGCUCCAGGUUCAGUGACUAGUUUGCCCUAGUGACUGAUUCUCAGCUGCUCGUCAGGGUGGACAGCCUCAGCAGGUGCUCGACAGCUCAAAAACUUUCAGCCAUUCAGUCCAGUUCGACUCGAAAUGGUGGCAUUAAAGGGCACACAAUUUGAUGUCCCCUUAGGACAAGACAUGUUUGUAGGUUACACCUGUUUCAUGUUUAAAGUAAAUUAAGUGAUGACUGAUGGAUACACGGCCUUGGAUAUCUUAGUGUGAUUUAUCUUGUGGUUGUGAUUAAAAAAAAAAAUUGCAUGUAAAAUAAAUAAAAAAUAGAUUUUUAGCU